rnacentral:rRNA from 1 species
GGCGGCACGCCUAACACAUGCAAGUCGAACGAAGUAGCAAUACUUAGUGGCAGACGGGUGAGUAACAUGUGGGUAUCUGCCCUUUGGCCUGGAAUAACACGAGGAAACUUGUGCUAAUACCGGAUAAGUCUUUACGGAGAAAGCUUUAUGCACCAUUGGAUGAGCCCGCACUUGAUUAGUUAGUUGGUAGGGUAAUGGCCUACCAAGACUGUGAUCAAUAGCUGAUUUGAGAGGAUGAUCAGCCACAUUGGGACUGAGACACGGCCCAAACUCCUACGGGAGGCAGCAGUGGGGAAUCUUGCACAAUGGAGGAAACUCUGAUGCAGCGAUGCCGCGUGAGUGAAGAAGGCCCUUGGGUUGUAAAGCUCUUUCGUCGGGGAAGAAAAUGACUGUACCCGAAUAAGAAGGUCCGGCUAACUUCGUGCCAGCAGCCGCGGUAAUACGAAGGGACCUAGCGUAGUUCGGAAUUACUGGGCUUAAAGAGUUCGUAGGUGGUUGAAAAAGUUGGUGGUGAAAUCCCAGAGCUUAACUCUGGAACUGCCAUCAAAACUUUUCAGCUAUAGUAUGAUAGAGGAAAGC